GAGUUUGAUCAUGGUCAGAUUGAACGCUGGCGGCAUGCCUUACACAUGCAAGUCGAACGGCAGCAUGAUCUAGCUUGCUAGAUUGAUGGCGAGUGGCGAACGGGUGAGUAAUACAUCGGAACGUGCCCUGUAGUGGGGAUAACUAGUCGAAAGAUUAGCUAAUACCGCAUACGACCUGAGGGUGAAAGUGGGGGACCGCAAGGCCUCAUGCUAUAGGAGCGGCCGAUGUCUGAUUAGCUAGUUGGUGGGUAAAGGCCCACCAAGGCGACGAUCAGUAGCUGGUCUGAGAGGACGAUCAGCCACGCUGGGACUGAGACACGGCCCAGACUCCUACGGGAGGCAGCAGUGGGGAAUUUUGGACAAUGGGCGAAAGCCUGAUCCAGCAAUGCCGCGUGUGUGAAGAAGGCCUUCGGUGUAAG
rnacentral:rRNA from 1 species